AGUGAACGCUGGCGGUAGGCCUAACACAUGCAAGUCGAACGGCAGCACAGUAAGAGCUUGCUCUUACGGGUGGCGAGUGGCGGACGGGUGAGGAAUACAUCGGAAUCUACUUUUUCGUGGGGGAUAACGUAGGGAAACUUACGCUAAUACCGCAUACGACCUACGGGGGAGAGCAGGGGAUCUUCGGACCUUGCGCGAUUGAAUGAGCCGAUGUCGGAUUAGCUAGUUGGCGGGGUAAAGGCCCACCAAGGCGACGAUCCGUAGCUGGUCUGAGAGGAUGAUCAGCCACACUGGCACUGAGACACGGUCCAGACUCCUACGGGAGGCAGCAGUGGGGAAUAUUGGACAAUGGGCGCAAGCCUGAUCCAGCCAUACCGCGUGGGUGCAGAAGGCCUUCGGGUUGUAAGGCCCUUUUGUUGGGAAAGAAAAGCAGCAGGUUAAUACCCCGCUGUUCUGACGGUACCCAAAGAAUAAGCACCGGCUAACUUCGUG
rnacentral:rRNA from 1 species